GAUCAGCCACACUGGAACUGACACACGGUCCAGACUCCUACGGGAGGCAGCAGUGAGGAAUUUUGCGCAAUGGGGGUAACCCUGACGUAGCAACGCCGCGUGAGUGAUGAAGGCCUUCGGGUCGUAAAGCUCUGUCAAGUGGGAAGAACCUGCGAGGUGUGAAUAUCAUCUUGCAUUGACGGUACCACUGAAGGAAGCACCGGCUAACUCCGUGCCAGCAGCCGCGGUAAUACGGGGGGUGCAAGCGUUAUUCGGAAUCAUUGGGCGUAAAGCGCGCGUAGGCGGCCAGUUAAGUCAGAUGUGAAAUCCCGGGGCUUAACCCCGGAAGUGCAUUUGAAACUGGUUGGCUUGAGUAUGGGAGAGGGAAGUGGAAUUCCUGGUGUAGAGGUGAAAUUCGUAGAUAUCAGGAGGAACACCGGUGGCGAAGGCGACUUCCUGGACCAAUACUGACGCUGAGGCGCGAAGGCGUGGGUAGCAAACAGGAUUAGAUACCCUGGUAGUCCACGCAGUAAACGGUGAUCACUAGGUGUAGCGGGUAUUGACCCCUGCUGUGCCGUAGCUAACGCAUUAAGU
rnacentral:rRNA from 1 species